rnacentral:tRNA from 1 species
AGGGCUAUAGCUCAGUUGGUAGAGCACCUCGUUUACACAAUUAGUUUGAUCUGUUUUACCGAGAAGGUCUACGGUUCGAGUCCGUAUAGCCCUA